GCCUCAGUGAUCGAGUUGGUUAAGACGCUCGCCACGGAAAAUCGAGAGGUUCAAGGUUCGAAUCCUAGCUGAGGUA
rnacentral:tRNA from 1 species